rnacentral:rRNA from 1 species
AUGGUAUUCGGAAGCUUAGUCUUUAACCCAAUACUUUCUUUCCUUGAUGCAAGUAAAACGAUGUCACAUUCUUGGUUAUAUCUAUGGUCCUCCAUCAUCUUUCAUAAAUCUAGUUAUGUUAUGCCGGACUUGCAUUUUUUGGGAGAAAUGUACCUUUUCAUGUAUAAAAAAUGGUUGACUCGCAUUACACUGUUUAGUAUUUUGUAUGCAAACAUGAAUCUUACUACAGAUACACACUGGAAGUCUAAAAUCAUGCUAGUAGAAAUAUGUGUUUUGUUAGCUACGCAUCUAUUUUGUUGA